rnacentral:lncRNA from 10 species
UACAGGCGUGAGCCACCGCGCCCGGCCGCAAAUUAAGCAUUUUUAAAAGAGCUGAUUGAUAUCAAGGAAAACAUCAAAUAGUACUGGUGCCCCUCACACCCAUUAGGAUGGCUACCAUUAAAAAAAAAAAAGCGUGUUUUCCCAGCACUUUGGGAGGCCGAGGCAGGUGAAUCACUUGAGGUCAGGAGUUCAAGACCAGCCUGACCAACAUGGUGAAACCCCAUCUCUGCUAAAAAUACAAAAAUUAGCCAGGCGUGGCCGGGCGCGGUGGCUCACACCUGUAAUCCCAGCGCUUUGAGAGGCUGAGGCGAGCGGAUCACGAGGUCAGGAGAUCGAGACCAUCCUGGCUAACACAGUGAAACCCCGUCUCUACUAAAAAUACAAAAAAUUAGCCCAGCGUGGUGGCAGGUGCCUGUAGUCCCAGCUACUCGGGAGGCUGAGGCAGGAGAAUGGCGUGAACUCGGGAAGCAGAGCUUGCAGUGAGCCAAGAUCGCUGCAACUGCACUCCAGGCUGGGUGACAGAGUGAGACUCCGUCUCUCUAAAAAAAAAAAAAAAAAAAAAAAAAGCCAGGUGUGGUAGUAUGCACCUAUAAUUCCAGUUACUCGAGAGGCUGAGGCAGGAAAAUCACUUGAACCCAGGAGGUGGAGGUUGCAGUGAGCCAAGAUCGUGACACUAUACUCCAGCCUGGGUGACAGAGCAAGUCUCUAUCUCAAAAAAAAAAAAAAGAAAUUUAAAAAUAGAAUUGCCAUAAGAGCCAGCAUUCCCACUCCUGGGUAUAUUCCCAGCAAAACGGAAGGCAUGAGCUGCAUCCUGCAAAAUUCCAGGUGCCUUGACUUGCCCCCUCAGAGAAAUGGGGAUGAGAGUUCCUGCUGGGUGUAUGGCAGACACCGUGAACAGUGUCACCGUGAACAGGGACACAGAGAUAUUUGUACACCCAUGUUCACAGCAGCACAAUUCACAAUAACCCCAAAGGUGGAAACAACCCAAGGGGUGGUGGACAGAAAAAUGGAUCAACACACUGUGGUCCAUCCACACAGUGGAAUAUUACUCAGCCAUGAAAAGGAAGGGAAUCCUGACGCAGGCUACAGUGCGGAGGCAUCUUGAGGACCUCAGGCUCAGUGAGAGAAGCCAGACACAGAGGGACAAAUGCCGUGUGAUUCCACUCCUAGGAAGUCCCUGGAGUCAUCAAAUUCACAGAGACAGAAAGUAGGAUGGGGAUGCCAGGGGCUGGGGAGGGAGAUGGGGAGUGAGUGUUUCAUAGACUCAAAGAGUUUCAGUUUGGGAAGAUAAAGUUCUGGAGAGGGUGGAGGUGAUGGUUGCACAGCCACGUGAAUGUGUUUUUAACGCUGCUGAACUGUGCACUUAGAAGUAGGUCACGCUGGGCACAGUGACUCACGCCUGUAAUCCCAGCACUUCGGGAGGCCAAGACGGGUGGAUCACCUGAGGUCAGGAGUUCGAGACCAGCCUGGCCGACAUGGCGAAACCCCGUCUCUACUAAGAACACAAAAAUUAGCCAGGCAUGGUGGCGGGCACCUGUAAUCCCAGCUACUUGGGAGGCUGAGGCAAGAAUUGCUUGAACCUGGGAGGUGGAGGUUGCGGUGAGCUGAGAUCACGCCACUGCACUCCAACCUGGGUGACAGAGCGAGACUGUCUCAAAAAAAAAAAAGAAAAAAAAAAAAGAAACCGGGUGCAGUGGCUUAUCCUUGUAAUCCCGGCACUUUGGGAGGCUGAGGCAGGCAGACUGCUUGAGUUCAGGAGUUCAAAACCAGCCUAAGCAACAUAGCAAGACCCCAUCUCUACAAAAAAUAAAAGAAUUCGCUGGCAUUGUGGCUCGAGCCUGUGUCCCAGCUACUCGGGAGGCUGAGGUGGGAGGAUCACUUGAGCCCGGGAAGUUGAGAUUUCAGUGAGCUAUGAUUGAACCACUGCACUCCAGCCUGGGCAACAAAGCGAGACCUUGUCUCAAAAGAAUAAAAUACAAAAUGGUUAAGUGUAUUAUUUUGUUAUGUGUAUUUUAUCACUGUUUAAAAAAAAAAAAAAAAAUAAGCCAGGCGUGGUGGCUUACGCCUGUUAUCCCAUUACUUUGGGAGGCUGAAGUGGGUGAUUAUCUGAGGUCAGGAGUUUGAGAUCAGCCUGGCCAAUGUGGUGAAACCUCGUCUCUACUAAAAAUACAAAAAUUAGCCAGUCAUGGUGACGCACGCCUGUUGUCCCAACUACUGAGGAGGCUGAAGCGGGAGAAUCGCUUGAAUCCAGGAGGCGGAGGUUGCAGUGAGCCGAGAUCGCACUGCUGCACUCCAGCCUGAGUGACACAGCGGGACUCCGUCUCAAAAAGAAAUAGAUAAAUAGCCCCUGGAGCCCACAGCUCUGGCAAAAUCCAUGAAGGUGGAAAACAUGAGCUGCAUCCUGUGAAGUUCUGGGUGCCUCGACUUGCCCCUCUGAGAAAUGGGGAUGACAGGUCCUGCUGUGUGCACGGAGGACACCGUGCCUGGUACGUGGCAGAUAAAUAGUCAGUGUCACCCUGAGCUGGACGGGCCUGGGGGCCUGGGAGGGGGUCCGUGUGCUGGCCGGCAAGGCAGAGACGCCUUGACGCCGCAUGGCGUGGGUUUGAGACCAGGCAGCCGGUGAGCCCAGUUGGCUUUGGGAAGCUCUGAAUUCCUUUGAGCACCGAAGAGAAAAGAAUAAGCUGUGUUGGCUUCGAUACCCAAAUCCUCCAUCUGACAGCCGUGACUGCUAAAUCGGCUCUGCUUCCCUUCCUGUUUUCAAGUUUUAGACUUUCUCGAUUCCAAAGUGAUUCACGGUCG